rfam:Schistosoma curassoni strain Dakar, Senegal genome assembly, scaffold: SCTD_scaffold0006983
AUUCAGUUGAUCAGUCCUAAAUAAGACGAAACGCGCGUCUUGGAU